rnacentral:misc_RNA from 1 species
GAAAUGCGAUAAGUAAUGUGAAUUGCGGAAUUCAGUGAAUCAUCGAAUCUUUGAACGCACCUUGCGCUCCUUGGUAUUCCUUGGAGCAUGCCUGUUUGAGUAUCAUGAAAUCUUCAAAGUAAAUCUUUUGUUAACUCAAUUGGUUUCUACUUUGGUAUUGGAGGUCUUUGCAGCUUCACACCUGCUCCUCUUUGUUCAUUAGCUGGAUCUCAGUGUUAUGCUUGUUUCCACUCGGCGUGAUAAGUUAUCUAUCGCUGAGGACACUGUAAAAGGUGGCCAAGGUAAAUGCAGAUGAACCGCUUCUAAUAGUCCAUUGACUUGGACAAUACUUUUAUGAUCUGAUCUCAAAUCAGGUAGGACUACCCGCUGAACUUAAGC